rnacentral:rRNA from 1 species
GACGAACGCUGGCGGCGUGCCUAAUACAUGCAAGUCGAACGCAGUGGGGACGGGUGAGUAACACGUGGGUAACCUCCCAUCAGAGGGGAUAACACUUGGAAACAAGUGCUAAACCGAUACUGAUGGAUGGAACCGCGGUGCAUUAGCUAGUUGGUGAGGUAACGACUCACCAAGGCCACGAUGCAUAGGCGGCCUGAGAGUGGGAGGAGCCACAGUGAGAGUGAAGCACGGCCCAGACGCCUACGUGAGGCAGCAUUAGGGAAUCGUCGGCAAUGGACGAAAGUCUGACCGAGCAACGCCGCGUGAGUGAAGAAGGUUUUCGGAUCGUAAAACUCUGUUGUUAGAGAAGCGGUAUCUAACCAGAAAGCAACGGCUAACUACGUGCCAGCAGCCGCGGUAAUUC